AACGAACGCUGGCGGCAGGCUUAACACAUGCAAGUCGAGCGCCCCGCAAGGGGAGCGGCAGACGGGUGAGUAACGCGUGGGAAUCUACCCAUCUCUACGGAAUAACGCAUGGAAACGUGUGCUAAUACCGUAUACGUCCUUCGGGAGAAAGAUUUAUCGGAGAUGGAUGAGCCCGCGUUGGAUUAGCUAGUUGGUGGGGUAAAGGCCUACCAAGGCGACGAUCCAUAGCUGGUCUGGGAGGAUGAUCAGCCACACUGGGACUGAGACACGGCCCAGACUCCUACGGGAGGGAGCAGUGGUGAAUAUUGGACAGUGGGCGCAAGCCUGAUCCAGCCAUGCCGCGUGAGUGAUGAAGGCCCUAGGGUUGUAAAGCUCUUUCACCGGUGAAGAUAAUGACGGUAACCGGAGAAGAAGCCCCGGCUAACUUCGUGCCAGCCGCCGCAGUAAGAC
rnacentral:rRNA from 1 species